UAAGGUGGUUAUUGCGGCGGGGCUCACCUCUUCCCAUCCCGAACAGAGAAGUUAAGCCCGCCUGCGCAGAUGGUACUGCAGUAUUGUGGGAGAGUAUGUCGUCGCCUUUC
rnacentral:rRNA from 5 species